rnacentral:rRNA from 1 species
GACGAACGCUGGCGGCGUGCCUAAUACAUGCAAGUCGAACGCUUCUUUCCUCCCGAGUGCUUGCGCUCCAUUGGAAAGAGGAGUGGCGGACGGGCGAGUAACACGUUUGUAACCUACCCAUCAGAGGGGGAUAACACUUGGAAACAGGUGCUAAUACCGCAUAACAGUUUAUGCCGCAUGGCAUAAGAGUGAAAGGCGCUUUCGGGUGUCGCUGAUGGAUGGACCCGCGGUGCAUUAGCUAGUUGGUGAGGUAACGGCUCACCAAGGCCGCGAUGCAUAACCGACGUGGGGGAGUGAUCGGCGGCCCUGGAACUGAGACACGGCCAAGGCUACUGCGGGAGGCAGCAGUAGGGAAUGUUCGGCAAAGGACGAAAGUCUGACCGAGCAGCGCCGAGUGAGUGAAGAAGGUUCUCGGAGCGUAAAACUCUGUUGUUAGAGAAAAACAAGGACGUUAGUAACUGAACGUCCCCUGACGGUAUCUAACCAGAAAGCCACGGCUAACUACGUG